rnacentral:lncRNA from 1 species
GAGAGAGAGAGAGAGAGACGCUACUGUGUAUAGAAGGUAGAGGGACAAAGAGAACAAAGGGAGACACUGUCUGUUAUAUAGAUCCCCAAAAGCUAGAGAGAGAAGGUUCUUUAUCUCUCUCCUGACACAACAAUCAUGCGUUGUGUUGUGUUUAUGCAUAGAUGGCGGCCGCGAGAAGAGAGAGAGAGAGAGAGAGAAAAGAUGUGUGCAUAUUGCGUCAUGUGAAUGAUGAUGAUUUAUUAAAGAGAAAGAAGUUAGAGAGAUGAAGGGGUUUCUUGCUUUGCUUGCUCUUCUUUCGAAAUUGAUCUUUAGUGGUGGUAACAAAGUGGAUAUCCAAAAUUUGAAAGUAUUUAUGAGCCGUUCCAUUUUGUCCAAAUCAACAUUUGUAUCAACUGCGUAAGUGUGUAAAAUUUUUUUGAUGUUUGGAUAUCUGAAAAUUUAUAUUUCUACGGGUAUUAUUAUUUUUUUUUUUGGGCAAACAUAUAUUAGAAAUUUCAAACAUAGAAGUUCUACACGGUCUCGAUAUACUUAAAGGAAGAUAGAACUGCUUUAGCAAUCAAGUCAGCUUCGACAUUCGCUAAACACGGUACAUAAUUAAAAGAGAUAGAGGUAAAAGAACACUUCCAAUGGAGUUCUUCCUAUUGGAUUUUUAAUAUAUGUAUUAUGUAUAUAUAUAUAUAUAUGUAUAUAUUAUAUAUGUAUAAGUAAUUGUGGGGUCCAUAAUUUUUGUGGAAUCUUAUAGGUAAGGGUUUUUAAAAGAGAGUUUUAAAAAUCUUUAUUUACGAGAUUCCACAAUAAUUGUGAACCCCACAAUUAUUUACACAUAUAUAAUAUAUACAUAAUACAUAUAUUUAAGAACCCCAAUGAGAAAAAUCUCCAUUGGAGAUAGUCUAAGAUCUAAUCUAGUGUGUAAAAAAUUUUGGAAUUCAAAACUUAAAAUUAAAAUAUAAAAUCUAAAUUUAGUAUCUUUCUUUUUUGUGCAAACAUGUUUUCCAUUACUUAAACUUGAAGAUAUCUACAAUAGUUCAUAGCUUUUACAGCUUCAUUAGCAUUACAAACUGCCAACUUGGUGGCUAAACUAGAUAAAUAAAACACAUAACUUCAAUUGCCAAGCUUCAUGAAGAUUCCUGUAGAGACCAAUGUGAUUGUUGUACGAGAUUUGUAGCAUCACUAACAACGUAUCAUGAAUAUUAAUAUUAAAUAACCAAUUUAAUAAAAAUAUAUUUUAAAACUUAUACAUAAAUAUAAUUAUAUAUAUGUUGAAUCAGAUAUCUAAUUUUUAAAAUAUUAGUAUUUGUGAUUUAAUUGAUUUUUAACAAAAAUUGAAAUUCAUAUUUGUUGUACUUUUCUUAAAUUACGAAUAUUUGAGUUUUUCAAAUCAAAAUAAAACGGAUAAUAAAUGGAAAUAAAAUUUAGGGAUAGACAUUUUUCUAGGAACAUCUUUGUAACUUCCAAAUACCCCUUCUCAAACAUUUUCGGCUCUUCAUCAUAUGCAUCCUCUAAACAGAAGAUAAUUUGUUAUAAGGGAACUAGACCUAAAGAUAAUUUCAUCAUUUUUGUAGGAAUGAGUGAGCUAGCUAUAUGUAGUAGAAUGUCAUAUAAAGGUUCACAAUGAUGGUAAAGUUUGGUUCGAACCAUCAUCCUUCAUGAUUCAUUUCAACCGUUUUGGAUCAUUUUCUAUGUUCUCUUUCAUCCUCUCAUUUCCGGUUUGCUCAAUAUUGGUCUAGUAAAUAUUACACUCAACCUUAAUUUAAGUUUUUGAUUUUGUAGAGUACAAAUCAUUUGCUACAUUUUUUAAAAAAAAAAUGGAUGGUAAUUCUGAAAAAUAAUCAUAGAGCCUUGUAAUCCAAGAUCUGCACAUAUAUAACUGAAAACAUUAAAACCUUAAUGAAAUAAAAAUUUAAUAUGUGUAUCAUCUUCCAACAUGCACAUUGGCAGCUCCAAAGAUUUCCAAGAUAUUUAUUUUUGGUUAUUUAAUUAUUUAAGUUAUUUGUUAUUAGUUAAUGGAGAUAUUUAAGAAUCCGGUAGACUGGCCGACCUUUUCGGAAAUAGAUGGUUUUUCGUUUAGUAUAUAUAACGCUUUAGUGUUUGCUAUAUUUUCCGUGUCUUUAAUGUCCGUACAAAUGCUAUUUGCAAAAGAAUCUAGAACACGAAACACUUUAUUCUCUCAUAUAAAUUAGAUUGAAUCGAUAGGAAUGGUUACACGUAGAAGUUUUUUUAUCGGCCAAAACUUGAUUUAAAAGUAUAAAUUGUCGAAAAUAAAAAUUUCUUUGUUGAUUGUUCAGCAUUUCUUGUGUUACAUAGAAACUUAUUUAACUAUGGUGGGAGGAAAAAUAAGUAAUCAAGACGAAUAGUGUUUGGACUUUGAAGCUUCAAAACCUACAAAACAAUCAUGAAUUAUAAGUGUAUUUUCAACUCACCUCUAUAUUUACCUUUAUAAUAAGAUUUAAAGGAAAAAUUCUUCUUCUAAAAUAGAGAUCGAUAGAUUUUCUCUAUUUAUAAUGAAAAAAUAUUAUUCUUCUAUAUUUUACUCUAUAUUCGAAGAUCUUUAUUUUAGAAAAAUACAUCGGAGAAAACUCAAUCUCUAUUAUAAAGAUUCUCUAUUUUAUAAAAAAAAAAAUUAAAAUACAUUAGAGAUAGUCUGAGUGUAAUAGAAGGUGAAACAUCAUAUAAACAGCACGGUAGUUGUUUUAAAAUGUAUGAAAUUCACAUAUACUUGUCUAGAACUCGUUCGUUUGCCCAUAAUUUUAAGAAGGAAAAGAAGAAAAAAAAAGAUGACUACAAAUUUCACGUUUAUGAAAAAACUACUUUUCCUAGUGUAUGUCUUGUACGGCUUCUUUCAAUCUUUUAUCACGGAAUAAGUUCUAGUGAUUUUAUUAUUUUUUUAAAAAAUAAUGGGUUGAUAUUAGAAGUUAAGCAAAACUGAAACACAAUCAAUAGUUAGUAGGUGUGACUUGAAAUGGAACUUAAGUGUGGGUGCACUUGCUUACACCAAAGGCAAUAUAUUAAAGUGAGGAGUUUCAUUUCUUGCUGGAUUGAAUUUACAGAUGGCGUUUCUGGCCCUUGUUUCAUAUAACUUUUUGAUAUCUCGUGUGACUUGAUUAAUCAAUCGGACUGGUAACGUAUAUUACUUCUUUACAUUAGGCCUCUGAUCACAGCUAUAUAACUAAUACUUGGACGUGUUUGGUAUAGAAUAUACUAGAAAAUCAUAUUCUAUUUUGUAUUUUUAAAAUUAUUGUUUCCUUUCCAUAAUCUUUUCUUUUGUCUUUUGAACUUUACUUUUUUUUUUAUUGAUGUCUCCUCUAUAAGGGUUUGAAGUGCGUUCAUAUUAGACUGCAUGCAAACAUUAUCAUUGCAGCUCUUAACUUUUAAACAUAAAUAAAUCCUUUACUAAGAUUAUGAGGGGCAGAUCUUGAACAAAGGACCAUAUUUUAUAUAGAUGAACGAUAAACUGAAAACUGAUAUAGUAAUAGUCUCUCUUGCAAGUGAGACACAAAUAUAUGAAUUUGCAUUUUGUAGAAAAAGUGACAAGGAUAUAAAUCGGCUUUAAUUUCUGUUUUGGUCUAUUAUGGGAUGUUACUGGGCUAUCUGUAAUGUUAUUGGAUUAUUAAACUGGGCUAGUGUCUUAGAAAACACUGCCCUUCUGGGUUGUAAUGUUUUCUUUCUCCUUUUAUAUAAAUAGAAUGCCUUUGCUCAAAAAAUCUGAAAGAAAACAACCAAGAAAAAUAACACAAACUAAAAACAAGCUAAAACAUUUAGUGAGUUCUAUUAUUUUAUUGAAUGUAAAACAUUACUGCCUCCUAUUUUGAUAUUGUUGUCAAUACUCAACACUACAAAUAUUUAGAUUUAUCCGAUUACACAUCUAUUCUAUUAAAAUAGAAGUCACAACCUUAUUUCAUGUGUGAUUUUUUUUAAGUUAGACCUUCAUUUAAAAUUUUUAUUAAAUGUAUUUCAUUAAGACUAAUAUUAUAUAUAAUUUCUGAACGAGAGAGAGAGAGAGAGAGACGCUACUGUGUAUAGAAGGUAGAGGGACAAAGAGAACAAAGGGAGACACUGUCUGUUAUAUAGAUCCCCAAAAGCUAGAGAGAGAAGGUUCUUUAUCUCUCUCCUGACACAACAAUCAUGCGUUGUGUUGUGUUUAUGCAUAGAUGGCGGCCGCGAGAAGAGAGAGAGAGAGAGAGAGAAAAGAUGUGUGCAUAUUGCGUCAUGUGAAUGAUGAUGAUUUAUUAAAGAGAAAGAAGUUAGAGAGAUGAAGGGGUUUCUUGCUUUGCUUGCUCUU